UCUGUCUCUCAGCUCCAUUUCCUUCUCUGUUUCCCAACCUCUCUAUCUCUCUCGCUAGGGUUUUCAAAACCCCCUUUCACUGCAAGAAGGAGAAGAAGAACGGUGAAGAGCGAUUUGUAAAAAGAACCUCGGCUGCAAGGAUAGUGAAGUUGUCCGUCACCACUUAUAUCAUUUUUGUUAUCUUUAUGUUUCUCCAUCUUUUGCUUGUUUUUUGGCGUAUUUUAGUUGAAUGUCUUUCUUCCUUUAGAGAAUGUUGGAUCAGGUUGAAGUUGUGGAGAAAUCUUCAACAUUAACACUACACAAAUCUGUCACUGGAGAUCCAAUAUCCUUUACUUAUCCAGGUCAGGUUGUUCUACAAUGGUUGUGCUGUGAAUGGUACCUUGCUUGUCAAUAAAAAGGUCGGUCAUCAUCCAAUGAUUGUUGCAUGCCACCGUGAAGGUAGAGGAUGGAAAUUUUGGGGAGACAGUAAUUUGAAAAGUAAAUUUUGGGGUCGUUCAAUCCAGCUUGAUCCUGUUGGUUUUCUAACUCUCGAGUUUGAUGAUGGUGAAGUUUUUCAGUGGAGCAAGGUAUGAAAAUCAUGAAUGAAAAUAGUAACAUUUGUUUCCUCAUGGGGUUCAAGAUGAAAUGUGUAUUUCUUUUUUAUUUUUUCCUUCAGGUCACAACUUUUGUAUUUUACCAAUCAUCAAUCACCAAAACUUGGAUUGUUCCCUUUCAGGAGAUAAUUGAUAUGGAUGAUGGAAUAUAUGAAGCCGUUGCAGGAAGUGACUUUGUCAUUACUAGAGUUGCAUUUCGAGACAACUCUUCAAAGUAAUACAUAAAUGACCGUGGAAGUAAUUUUAUAGAGGUCACUAAGAAAUUGAAAGGAAAAGGAGUGGACUUGGACAAUUGUAAUUUCAGCAUUAUUGUAAUUGUAAUUGUAAUUGAAU